GACGAACGCUGGCGGCGUGCCUAAUACAUGCAAGUCGAACGCACUGGGGACGAGUGAUUAACACGUGGGUAACCUCCCAUCAGAGGGGAUAACACUUGGAAACAAGUGCUAAAACCGAUACUGGUUGAGGGACUCGCUGUGCAUUAGCUAGUUGGUGGGGUAACGGCUCACCAAGGCCACGAUGCAUAGCGUACCUGAGAGGGUGUUCGGCCACACUGGGACUGAGACACGGCCCAGACUCCUACGGGAGGCAGCAGUGGGGAAUAUUCGGCAAUGGGCGAAAGCCUGACAGAGCAACGCCGCGUGAAUGAAGAAGGUUUUCGGAUCGUAAAACUCUUUUGUUAGAGAAGCGGUAUCUGACCAGAAAGCAACGGCUAACUACGUGCCAGCAGCCGCGGUAAUAC
rnacentral:rRNA from 1 species